rnacentral:sRNA from 1 species
AAAAACACAUCGAACUUCCUUUUGAACGAGAUGCAAUUAUAACGCCGGAUUGCGCUGUUUUCGCUUCCUGAAGAAGUUUGCAUGUGACGGACCCUAAACUCUCCAGUCCUGCGAGGAAGUUUCCGACAAUGUAGCAGAGAGAGCCAGCGAAGCAUAUUGCUGUGGGAUUUCAUCCCAUUAUUUAUGAAGAUUGAAAAAUCAAUUAAAUAGCUUGCAAAUCUGCCUGAAUAGCCAAAUUAUACAUUUUCUUUCUAUUAGGAUCUGAAAAUCAGAGCCGUCUGUUGGCAUGCGAUGCAAAUAUCCCUGCGACACGUGCUAAAACAUUUAAACGAUCAAGAUUCACAGCGUGCGCUGGUUCAGGAGAAAAGAGACAGCCAAUCAGCGCUCUAAAUUACACGUGUCUUAAUAUAACAAACAGAAUGUUAUGCAAAAACAAAUUAAGGGCUUCGUUAGGAGCCUGAUGGCUUGGUCAGAUAGUUUGCAUACGGUUCCUCUGUCCUGUUCGUUCCUGAUCGUCUUUGAAGUAGUCUAAUUGCUUGUCAAUCGUGUUUAGUAUGCCUACACGCAGUUUUGUGGAUUACAGUUAUUGUCAUUAAAAUGUAAUCAAUUUC